rnacentral:rRNA from 1 species
UACGUAGGUGGCAAGCGUUGUCCGGAUUUACUGGGCGUAAAGGGCGUGCAGGCGGUCUGUUAAGUGCAGGGUGAAAGCUCCCGGCUCAACUGGGAGAGGUCCUUGCAUACUGGCGGACUUGAGGGGGGUAGAGGAAAGUGGAAUUCCCGGUGUAGCGGUGAAAUGCGUAGAGAUCGGGAGGAACACCAGUGGCGAAGGCGGCACCCUGGACCAGCACUGACACUGAGGCACGAAAGCGUGGGGAGCAAACAGG